rnacentral:lncRNA from 1 species
UGAAAACUGAAUUUUUGAUGCUAACAUUUAAACAUAUAUAUAUAUAUAUAGAAUCCAGGCAUUAGAACCAAGUACUAAAAUAAGUUUGGGAAAUAACAAUAACAUGCCAAAGUUGCGAAGUAAUUAAAGCGUCGGGAACUUCCAACUUUUAAAAACGAAUGCGAUAAACGUAGCGUAAUUGUUAAAUUAUACAACGCUCUAAUUAACACUUUCAUGAUGGGAGGAGAGACUGAAAUGUCCGACUACGCUACUUUUCCCAACACGACAGUAAAAUUAAUCAAUUUAGUUAACUUGGAAUUUAGUCCGGUACGCUUCAGUUACCGACCAAAACGAAGAAUUGUCAGUAAUUUACCUUAUCAGUUUAUCUAUAAAAAUUAUCCAGGCCCGAACAGUAACUCUGGUCCUUCCUUCGCAUUCUUGUCAAAUUUAAUUUAUAAUUAGUAAAAAUGGUGUAAAAAAAAAAAGAUGGCCGAAAGAAAAGAACGACAGAUCAGCCCAAAAUAGGACGUUAUGGAAUUCAACCUCUGGAUAUCGAUCUCAUAUAUCCUUAUCCCAUUUUUAACCGAUAAUCUCGUAUAUAACCACCGAUUACCAAUUGAUCGAUUAAAACCAUGAGAAAAUAGUGUUAAAAAAUAAAUAAAAGUUGGAAAUCUAAAUUUCAUCUUAUUGCCUUCACCUAUUUGCAUAUUCAUUUAUUUUAACACGUACCAUCUAAUUUGCAUUGACGUCAUCAACCCGGGUGGCUGGAUAGUGAAGAUCCAGGAUGAAAUCACCAAACAGCGCUUAACGUUAGCUAACCAAUAAAUUUAACGAGAUAGCCAAUAACGGGCCGAAAAUUGGUGCAAAACGGUGAGGAAGAAUCCCAGCCAAGACCGAAAAGUCAUUAACUAGCGCGAAAAAAAUUAAAUUGGGAUUAGGAAACUAUCGGAAGAGAAUGAGGAUAGUUUAAAAUUCUAGAAAAUAGGCCUAUUGUAUUUGGCAAGUAAAACUUAGUUUACGAUUUAACAAAAAACAAUACGGUCAACCAAGUAGCCUAUAUUCUAAUUUCUCAGCCAUAUGCCGUACUUCUUUUUUUAUGUAUUACUAGAAAUUACCCGCUUAUGUGGAUGAGCGGAGGUAUAAUCUUGUGAUUUGGUCUUAUAAUACUGUGUAUAGUGGAAAACAUCUACAAAUUCGUGUAGGGUUGAAAGAUCGU